GAGUAGAAACAUGCUUUAAGCGUGUGGAGUUUAUUUUGUCUAGUAUUUUUGGUAUAAACAUUUUCCCUGUUUGUUUUUUUCUAGGUUUGGGUUAAGAAUUUAGACUUUAUUUUCGCGAGGCCUAGAGGCAGUUGUCCAAUUUCUGCUGUCAAAGUUUUUAACCUGUGAGUUAUUUAAAAAAGAAAAUGUAAAUGAUUUUGUUGUCGUUGAUGUGGCAGCAUCUAAUAUUUCUCCAUGUCUUUAGUUGGCUGUGUUUUCUGUGUGCCUGCAAUAUCCUGUUUAGUUUGUCUCGCCUUUGUUCGACGCUGUUAGGUGUUUCUUGGCACUUGGCAUGCCAUCUAAUGAAAGAGUUAAAGGAACUUGGCAGCCUAGACUGUGGUUUGAAAGCAAAUCUGUUCAUUUAAAUGCAGGAAGAAAAAAAAAAGUUGCAGAUGGCCUCAUGGCUUUAUAAAUUUACAUUCUUGCGCCCUUUAAAAGUUGCUCACCCUUUAAGUAUUAAUUUAGCAAUCUUAAAAAUAUUUUCACGUGGUCACAAUCGUCGGGUUAUAAUCUUGGAGUUAUUUUUUUUUCUGCUAAAAAAAGACGCCAAUAGUUGAGUUUGUAGUUUUAACAACUGGGGGCCGAUGCUGUAAGAGGACGGAAAUGUGUAUAAAGGCUAACCACAGGCCUGACUGUUGCAUUUGCUGUCAGAGGAGCUGUCAAUCAGAACUUGAGACACAGCUGCAAAGAUGAUCAUUUUAAUCCAACCCCACCCCUCCCCACCAUCACCACCAAAAAAAAAAAAUAAGUACAUCACAUUUCUGCAUGAGACGUCGUCUCUCUCUAAAACGGGCGAUGGACAUUUUUGAGAUAGCGAGGGUUUCAGCCGAGAACCAUUUUGGGAAAGAAAAAGUAAUAGUUCCCUUUUAUACGUGGCACAGGGCGGAUCGCAAGCAGAGAAAUGGUAAUCUGUCAUUGUGUACCAGCUGCUGCAGAAAUACCUCUGUGAUGCACAAGGGCAAAAGGGUAGUGCUGGCAUGUUAGUAAAAGCUAGACUGAAACGCAGAGCACUCCAGUUCUUUUUUAAAUAUUAUUAUUAUUAUUAUUAUUAUUAUUAUUAUUAUUAUUAUUAUUAUUAUUAUUAUUAUUAACCGUUUAACUAUCUAGCUUUUGUUUUCAGCCGUAGCUUAGUUCUUUCUCGUUUUAGAAAGGAGGAGUGUUUUUUAUGGCGGCCGUGCUGUUAAUAUGAAUCAUAGGCUGUUAUUCGAGGAAGGGAAAAAGAGGAGACAAAGACGCUGUCCGAACUUGGCAGCCGAUGGAAGUCGAGUGACAGCCAAGAAUCCUGCUGUGGUACAAGGAGAGGGGAAAAAAAAAAAAAAACACGUCCUAUAGCCCAGUUCAAAUAGAACUCUAGCAACAGUGACUGCAACUUGAGCAAAUCUUCGGGUUCGCUUUUUAUUAAACAGAAAUCCUGGCUCCUUUCCGGGUGACAGGGUAAAUAUAUCAACACGUAUGGAAUGAAGCGGUGGACCUUUGUUUGUUUGUUUUCUGCUGUGCCUAGCCUCUUUGUAUUUUAGACUCCAGCAUCAGCAACCUCUGCUACAAUUGUUUGUUCAUGUUAGGGAGUGGAGCAAAAAUGUAAAAAAAAAAAAAAGAAAAGAAGGCGAAGAUAGUGACUGUAAAGUAAUUGUGCUUGUUUUGUGUUUCUUGUUUCAGAACCUGUUCACUACAGGCUCGGCCUAGUUCUUCACGCCGUCCGGACUCCAUUUUGCUGCAGUGAGCCACGGCACCUCUCGACUGGGUUCGCACGCCUGAUUUGGCCUGACAUCACGAUCGACACUGCUGCUAGCUGCCUGCCGACUGCUCCAGAAAGCAGCCUCUCUUCACUUCCAAAAAGGGUGAGUUCCUGACUGACUUGUUCUUCCAUUUUUCUACCCUCCAACAUGUGUUGCCGGUGCUUGUCAUUUAGCUGUUUAAACCUGAAAUGUUUGGUUUUGCAUGAUUUGUGGCGCAGCCUUUUUAAGGGUUCUGCCUCCACUGUUGUUACAAUGUCCCGAUCCUUUUUAUUAUUAUUAUUAUUUAUUUUUUAUCUAUCUCAGCUUGACAGAAACACUGCAAUGUUGAGCUGCAGCCGACAAGCAAGGGAGAAUGUUUGAAUAGAGAAUGCUUAGCAGUGGCGCACCUGAGCUUCUGAAUCCAAACCCUACAGUGUAAUGACCAUGCUCGUAGUAAAUGCUGCAUUGUUUAGUCUGGGUGGUGGUGGGGAGGG